GUCUAUGGCCAUACCACCCUGAACACGCCCUAUCUCCUCUGAUCUUGGAAGCUAAGCAGGGUUGGGUUGGGCCUCAUUAGUACUUGGAUGGGAGAAAAAAAGUAUUGUAUAUU
rnacentral:rRNA from 1 species